GAAGAGUUUCUUCUACUGUAUCAAGCCUCUCCAGCGGUCCUUGGUCUGCUCCAGUACUAUUGGUUGACCCCAGUCCAACAGAAGACACACCCUUCCUUUGGUCCUUUGGCUCUUCUUAGAAGCCUCUGAUGAAUCACCAAACCUCUUCAUGAUUCUCUAAACAUCCAACAUGGGGGCUCGUAUCAUCACCUGGCUGGCACUAAUGUAUUCCAACCCUACUCUGUCGUCUUAAUAAUGUGUUGUUUUUUGUGUAUGGGAGUGUGACGUGUGUGUGACACUGUGUGUGCGACACAGCGUGUGUGUGUGAUUGUGCUGUGAUUGUGAUGUGUGUGACACUGUGUGUGUCUGUGUGUGUGAUUGUGAUGUGUGUGACACUGUGUGUGUCUGUGUGUGUGAUUGUGCUGUGAUUGUGAUGUGUGUGACACUGUGUGUGUCUGUGUGUGCUUGGUGGCUGAGAUGACCUCAUCAUUGAGUAUAGCCUGUCUGCCUCUCUCUAGUCUAAUGUGAGGUCUCCAGCAGCUUGUCCCUCAGGCUCGGCUCUUAAUUCAGAGAAUGUGUAAUACACCCAGGUAAGCAGGUUUAAUCUGCUUUGGGCUUGCAUACAGAGCAGACGGAAUUUGAUUUGAUUUGAUGUGUAUCUACCCGCUUUACAUCAAACAGCACAUUUCAACAGCUGGGCUCAAUAUGAGUUUUGACAUGUUUAAAAAAAUAUAUAUAUUUUAAACUUAAAUCUCUCUCACAACUCGAACUGGUUCAAACAAAUCUCCCUCAGUCACGUUAUUGGCCCUGCUUCCUGGAAAAACGUAAUAGCUUUAAAGCUCAAUAUGGCAUUGUUAUGGUUUCGUACCCUCUGUCACAAAUUCCAGACAGAAGUGAAUUUCCUAUUCCCUGUCAAUAACACCCAGAGUAUCACCUCUGAAAGUGAGGAAGCAUGAUUCAAUAAACCUGUCACUUAUUCUUUUCACUUUGACCCCGUGUUACCCUUGUUAGUCCAGGGGAGUUGGAUUACCGUUGCUUUUCCACCAUGUAUGUAACCUUCAUAGCCUUCCCAAGAAACAGAAACACCAGACUGGCUAUAUCAGUAUCACUCUUUGGCCCACACUGUCCACACACCUCUUUGGCCCACACUGUCCACACACCCCAGUCAAUGUGCAACUGUUUUCAGGCCUCUCUCAGAAUCACACACUGGUAAAGAAGUCGCCUGUGCUGGACAUUUUUAAUGUUUGUGCUUUUCUAAUAACAAAUUUCUGUGUUCUAUUCAUGUGCUUUUCUAAUAACCAUUUUCUAUGUUCAAGCAAGUGACUGACUGAACGAAUCCUCACUAUCAGUAUCUGCAAUUUGGCAGUACGCCCAGACCUUUGUUUUGAGAAUGAAAGAUCUCAGUUUCAAGGUCUCGGCUUAGAGAGAAGAAGCCUUGUGAGGUAUUGGUCUGUCACAUGUUAUGAGCCAGUAUUGGUCUGUCACAUGUUAUGAGCCAGUAUUGGUCGGUCACAUGAAUUAAACAAAAC
rnacentral:lncRNA from 1 species